AUGAUUUGUGUAAGAGCAGCAGGACAGGCUAUGUACAAAGGUAAGACAAUUCAUCUAACAAAGAGGCCGUGGAGAGAGUUAUCAAGGAAGACAGCCUUCAAUAAUUACUUUACCAUCACUCUUUUCCAGAAAGGGGUGGAAUUAUCAGGAUGGAAUCAAGGAUGCUUCCAAACAGAGGGAAUAUCUCAAGCUAUGACUCAGAGAGUUUUCCCCACAUCGUUAAUGGUAUGGGAAUUAGGAGCAGGUCAUGUGACUCACAUGGCUCACCAUAUAAUUCCUUCUGGAGAGCAGCUGGAAGUUGCUUAUAGCCUCUCUCAGAAGGACUUGUCAGCACAAACAAUGCAGAUUGCAAAAUGAGAAAAUCUGAAACAAAUGCACGUGCUCAAAUCUCCUAGAUCUAGAGGCUGGGAAGUUCAAGAUCAAGGUACUGGUAUCCGGUGAGGACCUCCUUUCCCAUCUUCACAUGGUGGAAGACAGAAGGGCAAGAGAAAGCUAAUGUUGUGUCCUCACAUAGCAGAAGAGCAGAAAAGGGAGAACCCACUGCUGCAAGCUCUUUUUAUAGAGGCAUUAAUCUAUUCAAGAGAGCAGAGCCCUCAUUAGCUAAACACCUCCCAAAAGGCCACAUCUCCCAGUAGUGUUGUAUUGGGGGUUAAGUUUCAACAAAAGUUUGGAGGGAACAAAAACAUUCAAAUCAUAGCGGUAGGUUAUUUAUUCAUGCUGCCUAGAUUUCUUGAAUUUGUAAAAUUAAAUCAAAUGCACACCUAUAAUUUUUGACUUCAGAGAAACAAAGGCCAUUUCCAGUGACAGACAUUUCCAGUUCGGUGAAGAUUAAGAUAUCUAAAUCAUUACACAAGACCAUGCUUACAGCACUUAGCAGACCAGGAAUAAAUGAAGUCUUUGCACUGGGAAAAGAGAUCAUUAUGUCAUAAAAUCUGGCAAGGUAUACACUGCCAUGUUAACAGGGGUUGCUUUUGUGUGGUCAGCAUUUUUUUCAUAUUUGAUACAGUUGCUCUAUAACUUUCUAUAACAAAUUUACAAAAAUGACAGUCUAUUAAAAACAAGUUAACAAAAUUAAUGAUGGCUUCGUGCCAGUAAGUGUAUCUUUCUUUCAUUGCUCAACUUUGAAAAACUGUGAGUACCUGCUAUGCUAUUCAUUGACAUGUAUAACAUAAAAAUACAUAGUAUGUAUCACGUACCAGACACUGAAGAAUGUCUAUGUGUGAAUUAACUCAUAUCGGUAUGGUAUUUCUAAAAAUAGUCAUUAUUUUACUGCGAAAAAUAGUCAUUAUUUUACUGUAUUUCUGGUAAAAAAAAAUCAGAUAUUCAGAAACUGUGUAACUUGUAAGCAGCAGAAAAACUAGAUCUAUUAAAAUAUGUGAUCAAAUCAUUUUCAACAUUCUUUUUUAUUUUUUUCUUAGAAGACACUCAAGAGCAUGCUCUACUGAUGUACCCUUCUAUGGGUAACUCAAGGCCAUAGUGUGACCAGAAAUAUUUAAGUCACUUUUGCAGUUGAUUUUUAUUUCAGGUGAAGCUCCCUUCCCUUCCCUUCCCUUCCCUUCCUCUUUCUUUCUUUCUUUCUUUCUUUCUUUCUUUCUUUCUUUCUUUCUUUCUUUCUUUCUUCUUUUUUUUUUUUUUUUUUUUUUUUGAGUCUCACUCUGUUGUGCAGUGGUGCAAUCUCGGCUCACUGCAACCUCUGCUUCCUGGGUUCAAGUGAUUCUCUUGCUUCAGCCUCUUGAGUAGCUGGGAUUACAGGUGCCCACCACUGCACCCGGCUAAUUUUUGUAUUUUAGUGGAGAGGGGGUUUCACCAUCUUGGCUAGGCUGGUCUUGAACUCCUGACCUCGUGAUCCUCCCGCCUCAGCCUCCCAAAGUGCUGGGAUUACAGGUGUAAGCCACCACUCCCAGCCUCAGGUGAAGCUUUCUAACCAAUGUUACUUUAUGUUAUUGUAUUUCUUUAACAUUUUUACACUGAAAUCUAUUAACUUGGGUCAACCAUAUGAUUGUGGUGGAUGGCACACCAUUUACAAUUUUCGUCAUCUAGUAUUGGCUUACCAAAUAAUGAUGGAGGAGAUUUUUAAAAAUCAAUGCAUCCCAUUUAUUAUUAAGUCAAUUCUGCCUCUUACAACUUUGAUAUUUCACUUCUAAGUAUGUUAUCUGGAGUCACAUACAUGUCUCUUGUAUGGGAUAAAUAUUUUGUUCUAUUGCAGUAUUUAAAUGUUUUAACCAUGACCCUCACCAGCUCAGAUACUCUCGGGGUGUCUAACCUGGAGAUAAGCAGACAUAAUUUAUGUAUCUCUUCCCGAAUAAUGGUUUCUAUAUCCUCACCCCCUUGUUAGCGGAAAUGUAGAGUAAUAGUUAAAAGUGUGGGCUCUAAGGUUGAUCCAACUGGCCUGUAGCCUGGCUCUGCCAUAAUGGCUCUGUGACCUUGGGAAAAUGACUUACCUCUGUUUACCUCCCUGCUUCAUCAUAAAAGAAAGAUUAAACUAUGGCACUUGCCUUGCAGAGCUGUUGUUAAAACAAUGAAAUAAAGUAAUUUACAUGGCAUAUGUGUACUUGGAAUGUUCAUUGUUCAUAUUUUUACUCUUGUUGUUUGC
ensembl:lncRNA